GGUUAAGCGACUAAGCGUACACGGUGGAUGCCCUGGCAGUCAGAGGCGAUGAAGGACGUGCUAAUCUGCGAAAAGCGUCGGUAAGGUGAUAUGAACCGUUAUAACCGGCGAUGUCCGAAUGGGGAAACCCAGUGUGAUUCGUCACACUAUCGUUAACUGAAUACAUAGGUUAACGAGGCGAACCGGGGGAACUGAAACAUCUAAGUACCCCGAGGAAAAGAAAUCAACCGAGAUUCCCCCAGUAGCGGCGAGCGAACGGGGAGCAGCCCAGAGUCUGAAUCAGCUUGUGUGUUAGUGGAACGGUCUGGAAAGUCCGACGGUACAGGGUGAUAGUCCCGUACACCAAAAUGCACAGGUUGUGAACUCGAAGAGUAGGGCGGGACACGUGGUAUCCUGUCUGAAUAUGGGGGGACCAUCCUCCAAGGCUAAAUACUCCUGACUGACCGAUAGUGAACCAGUACCGUGAGGGAAAGGCGAAAAGAACCCCGGCGAGGGGAGUGAAAAAGAACCUGAAACCGUGUACGUACAAGCAGUGGGAGCACCUUCGGGUGUGACUGCGUACCUUUUGUAUAAUGGGUCAGCGACUUAUAUUCUGUAGCAAGGUUAACCGUAUAGGGGAGCCGCAGGGAAACCGAGUCUUAACUGGGCGUUAAGUUGCAGGGUAUAGACCCGAAACCCGGUGAUCUAGCCAUGGGCAGGUUGAAGGUUGGGUAACACUAACUGGAGGACCGAACCGACUAAUGUUGAAAAAUUAGCGGAUGACUUGUGGCUGGGGGUGAAAGGCCAAUCAAACCGGGAGAUAGCUGGUUCUCCCCGAAAGCUAUUUAGGUAGCGCCUCGUGAAUUCAUCUUCGGGGGUAGAGCACUGUUUCGGCUAGGGGGUCAUCCCGACUUACCAACCCGAUGCAAACUACGAAUACCGAAGAAUGUUAUCACGGGAGACACACGGCGGGUGCUAACGUCCGUCGUGAAGAGGGAAACAACCCAGACCGCCAGCUAAGGUCCCAAAGUCAUGGUUAAGUGGGAAACGAUGUGGGAAGGCACAGACAGCCAGGAUGUUGGCUUAGAAGCAGCCAUCAUUUAAAGAAAGCGUAAUAGCUCACUGGUCGAGUCGGCCUGCGCGGAAGAUGUAACGGGGCUAAACCAUGCACCGAAGCUGCGGCAGCGACACUAUGUGUUGUUGGGUAGGGGAGCGUUCUGUAAGCCUGCGAAGGUGACCUGUGAGGGUUGCUGGAGGUAUCAGAAGUGCGAAUGCUGACAUAAGUAACGAUAAAGCGGGUGAAAAGCCCGCUCGCCGGAAGACCAAGGGUUCCUGUCCAACGUUAAUCGGGGCAGGGUGAGUCGACCCCUAAGGCGAGGCCGAAAGGCGUAGUCGAUGGGAAACAGGUUAAUAUUCCUGUACUUGGUGUUACUGCGAAGGGGGGACGGAGAAGGCUAUGUUAGCCGGGCGACGGUUGUCCCGGUUUAAGCAUGUAGGCUGGUUAUCCAGGCAAAUCCGGAUAAUCAAGGCUGAGGUGUGAUGACGAGGCACUACGGUGCUGAAGUAACAAAUGCCCUGCUUCCAGGAAAAGCCUCUAAGCAUCAGGUAACAUCAAAUCGUACCCCAAACCGACACAGGUGGUCAGGUAGAGAAUACCAAGGCGCUUGAGAGAACUCGGGUGAAGGAACUAGGCAAAAUGGUGCCGUAACUUCGGGAGAAGGCACGCUGGUGUGUAGGUGAAGUCCCUGCGGAUGGAGCUGAGACCAGUCGAAGAUACCAGCUGGCUGCAACUGUUUAUUAAAAACACAGCACUGUGCAAACACGAAAGUGGACGUAUACGGUGUGACGCCUGCCCGGUGCCGGAAGGUUAAUUGAUGGGGUUAUCCGUAAGGAGAAGCUCUUGAUCGAAGCCCCGGUAAACGGCGGCCGUAACUAUAACGGUCCUAAGGUAGCGAAAUUCCUUGUCGGGUAAGUUCCGACCUGCACGAAUGGCGUAAUGAUGGCCAGGCUGUCUCCACCCGAGACUCAGUGAAAUUGAACUCGCUGUGAAGAUGCAGUGUACCCGCGGCAAGACGGAAAGACCCCGUGAACCUUUACUAUAGCUUGACACUGAACAUUGAGCCUUGAUGUGUAGGAUAGGUGGGAGGCUUUGAAGCGUGGACGCCAGUCUGCGUGGAGCCAACCUUGAAAUACCACCCUUUAAUGUUUGAUGUUCUAACGUUGGCCCCUUACCGGGGUUGCGGACAGUGUCUGGUGGGUAGUUUGACUGGGGCGGUCUCCUCCCAAAGCGUAACGGAGGAGCACGAAGGUUAGCUAAUCCUGGUCGGACAUCAGGAGGUUAGUGCAAUGGCAUAAGCUAGCUUGACUGCGAGCGUGACGGCGCGAGCAGGUGCGAAAGCAGGUCAUAGUGAUCCGGUGGUUCUGAAUGGAAGGGCCAUCGCUCAACGGAUAAAAGGUACUCCGGGGAUAACAGGCUGAUACCGCCCAAGAGUUCAUAUCGACGGCGGUGUUUGGCACCUCGAUGUCGGCUCAUCACAUCCUGGGGCUGAAGUAGGUCCCAAGGGUAUGGCUGUUCGCCAUUUAAAGUGGUACGCGAGCUGGGUUUAGAACGUCGUGAGACAGUUCGGUCCCUAUCUGCCGUGGGCGCUGGAGAAUUGAGGGGGGCUGCUCCUAGUACGAGAGGACCGGAGUGGACGCAUCACUGGUGUUCGGGUUGUCAUGCCAAUGGCACUGCCCGGUAGCUAAAUGCGGAAGAGAUAAGUGCUGAAAGCAUCUAAGCACGAAACUUGCCCCGAGAUGAGUUCUCCCUGAGACUUUAAGUCUCCUGAAGGAACGUUGAAGACGACGACGUUGAUAGGCCGGGUGUGUAAGCGCAGCGAUGCGUUGAGCUAACCGGUACUAAUGAACCGUGAGGCUUAACCUU
rnacentral:rRNA from 1 species